rnacentral:lncRNA from 10 species
CUGGACCAGCUACCAAGACAGCCCCUAGUUGGAAAAUCUUUUCUUCUAAGGUGAGAUGCAGCCCCCACUGGAGAGGAAAACACCAGAGAGUUUUUAAAAAGGAAAAACCAAGACUGGAGAUGUUGGAAAAAAGCACACUGCAUUUGCCUUUCGGCAUCUGUGAUGACUGAGUCCUUCCUCAGCGCUGCCACAGGGAGCACAUUCACAUGUGUGUCACACACAUACCAAGGUUAGGUCAAAAAACCAAGUGUUACCUGGAGGAAGCUACAAAGACUAUGAGACCAAGACCUCACCUAGAAGACACUUGAUAGUUCAGAAGCCGAGAUCCUGCGAGGUGUCCCAGAGAGCUCAGCUGUGACCCUGCACUGUAUGGAAGGGCGGGCAGUGGGGCCCAGGCAGGUGAAGAGAAUUGUCCACUGUUGAGCAUCAUCAGCCUAAAACCCACAUGCAAUGCUAUUGCUGCAAAACCGCUGACUGUUGAAGCCAAAAACCACAGAAACAGACUCCCUUUAUGGUCCUCACUGUGUAACUGGUGACUUUUCAGAAGAUGAAGAUUAAACAUAUUAAUCACAAAUUCAAAGUAUCACAAGAAAUACUAGGAGAUUUUCUAACCUCUGCUACCAUGACUUUUUUUUUGCAAGAUUCGUGAAUUGUUGUAAAUAAGCUCACAGAGGCCAAAGUGCUCCCCUGAAGUCAUCCAGAAAGAGGCAGGCUGCUAAUCCCCACAUCUGGGACAUCUGUGUUUUUUAUGAUAAUACAAAAAUUAAAGAUAAGGGAGAGAGAGGACAGAAAGAGACGGAGAGACAGAGAAUUGGAGCUAAGAGGAAACAUUUUCAGGUUUUGCCCCCCAAAAUUCCCAGUGAACAGUCCCAUUGCCAGCGGGUGAAAUCGCAGGCCCUGGCUCCAGGAUCCUGCUCUUUCCUUUGGUGACUCCUGUGCAGAUUUGGCACUGAAACAAUAUGAAAUUGUUACACUUCUCUGGACAAGUCAUUAUGCUUUUGGCUCACAG